GCAGUGAGCCAACUNUANCGUNCCGCGGUAUCCUAACCGUGCAAAGGUAGCGUAAUCACUUGUCCUCUAAAUAGGGANCUAGUAUGAAUGGUUAAAUGAGGGCCUAACUGUCUCCUUCGGCCAAUCAAUGAAACUGAUCUUCUAGUAAAAAAGCUGGAAUAAACCCACAAGACGAGAAGACCCUGUGGAGCUUUAAACUAAUAUACCAGCUAUAUAAACCCCACUCCAAUAUGGACCAACAACAAAAAGAUGGUGUAAAUUUUAAGUUGGGGCGACUACGGAAUAAAAAAAUCUUCCAUGUACAGGAUAUAACAUCCAUUAAAGACUAACAAGCCAAAAAUACCCCAGAAUGACCCAGUAACACUGAUCACCGAACCAAGUUACCCCAGGGAUAACAGCGCAAUCCUCUUCUAGAGUUCCUAUCGCCAAGAGGGUUUACGACCUCGAUGUUGGAUCAGGACCCCCUGGCGGUGCAGCCGCUGCCAACGGUUCGUUUGUUCAACGAUUAAUGUCCUACGUGAUCGAGU
rnacentral:rRNA from 1 species